GUAGCAAUGAAUUUAUGGGUGUUUCUUCAGGAUAAAAGUGGAGGAACCAGAGUUUCAAGCCAGCAUACAUUUUUUGUUUUCCAUAUCUGUUAGUUACAGUCUUGGUUUUCCUGGAGAGAUCAGCUUCUGUCAAGGGUACUCUGAAUAUGGAAGAGCCGUUUCGGAGACUGAGCAAGGCCGUUGCUACAGCCAGCAAACAAGUGUGUUUCAUUCCCACUGACAUUGCUGUGGAGAUGCAAGAGGAACACCAAAUCCUCAGACUUAUUGCAGUUUAUGGAAAAAAUGGAGCUGGGAAUUUAUAGCAGACCUGGCAAGAAUGAAUGGUGGUGUGGGAUAAACUGAAGGGAUUGUUCCCGGCGAACUCAAGGUAAGAUCAUACCUGUACCUCCAUUUCAGAGAGUAAAUUGAAGUAGAAAAAGAUAUUGUAAGGUUGAUGCAGUUAUAUGAGUACAGAUACACUUCUGUAAUGCACAGCAUGUACUAUGGGUUGUAAGGUGUUGUUGUUCUGAUAUAACUACAUCUAUAACAAUUGUGCUGGUAUAACAGUGUUAAUAAAAAAUAUUCUAACUGACA
rnacentral:lncRNA from 1 species